GCAAUUGUAGUAUAGUGGUUAGUAUUCCUGCUUCCCAUCUUCUACAUGAGAACCAGCAGGAGACCCGAGUUCGAGCCUCGGCAAUUGCA
rnacentral:tRNA from 1 species